UUGAAUAAACCUGAUGUGGUUGUUGCUGGCUCUCUAGGGAGCAUGUGCACGCCCGUCAUCUUUAUAUUUCCACCUGUGCACCUUUUGUAGACCCAGAAGGCUUGAGCAAUCGAGUCGUUUGGGCCUAUGUCUUAUCAUAUACCCCAUAGUAUGUAUUAGAAUGUAUCAGUGGGCUUCGUGCCUAUAAACACUAUA
rnacentral:misc_RNA from 1 species